CUCAGUUCGGAUCGGAGUCUGNAACCCGACUCCGUGAAGCUGGAUUCGCUAGUAAUCGCGCAUCAGCCAUGGCGCGGUGAAUACGUUCCCGGGCCUUGUACACACCGCCCGUCAAGCCAUGGAAGCCGGGGGUGCCUGAAGUGUGCAGCCGCAAGGAGCGCCCUAAGGUAAAACCGGUGACUGGGGCUAAGUCGUAACAAGGUAAC
rnacentral:rRNA from 1 species